CCGAUGCAGAGUCUCCAUUCAUGCACGACCUCCCCCGUCCGCUAUUCGUGCUUGGGCUUGGAAGAUUUCGGACACCCAUAUUUGUCAAAUCUGACGAAUUUCAUCAAAAUCAGGACCCCAAUCACAUACCGUAUACGUGUUUGCUAUAUAAAGACAGAGACAUCUCUAGGAGUACCAUCUCAUGAUCAAGUUUUAGCUCAGUUCUUGCCUACGUUGUUAGCACAUUCAAGAUGAGAAGCUCACUUCUUUUUGUGGUCUCAUUCAUGAUUGGUCUGCUCUUGCUUUCUUCUCAUGAAGGCAAUGUUACACGAGGGAACGACUUCUUUCAA